UACAGAGGUGCCGAGCGUUAGGCGGAAUCACUGGGCUUAAAGCGUGUGUAGGCGGACGUCUAAGUACCUUGUGAAAUCCCACGGCUCACCCGUGGAACUGCUGGGUAUACUGGGCGUCUUGAGCCACCUAGGGGCCAGCGGAACAAAUGGUGGAGCGGUGAAAUGCGUAGAUAUCGGUAGGAACACCAGUGGCGAAGGCGGUCUCCUGGGGGCAUUCUUGACGCUGAGGCGCGAAAGCUGGGGGGAGCAAACGGG
rnacentral:rRNA from 1 species